GAUGAACGCUGGCGGCGUGCUUAAUACAUGCAAGUCGAGCGGACAGAUGAGGAGCUUGCUCCUCUGACGUUAGCGGCGCGCGUGUGUGUAACACGUGGAUACUCUACCUAUAAGACUGGUAUCACUUCGGGACACCGGAGCUAAUACCGGAUCAUAUCUUGAUCCGCAUGGUUCAAUAGUGACAGACGGUUUUGCUGUAACUUCUAGCUGGAUCGCCGCCGCAUUGGCUAGUUGGUAAGGUCACGGCUUACCAAGGCAACGCUGCGUAGCCGAAGUGAGAGAGUGGUCGGCGACACUGGAACUGAGACACGGUCCAGACGACUACGGGAGGCAGCAGUAGGCAAUCUGACGCAAUGGGCGAAAGCCUUACGGAGCAACGCCGCGUGAGUGAUGAAGGUCUUCGGAUCGUAAAACUCUGUUAUUAGGUAAAAACAAAUGUGGAAGUAACUAUAGACGGCUUGACGGUAACUAAUCAGAAAGCCACGGCUAACUACGUG
rnacentral:rRNA from 1 species